GACGAACGCUGGCGGCGUGCUUAACACAUGCAAGUCGAACGGAAAGGCCCUGCUUUUGUGGGGUGCUCGAGUGGCGAACGGGUGAGUAACACGUGAGUAACCUGCCCUUGACUUUGGGAUAACUUCAGGAAACUGGGGCUAAUACCGGAUAGGAGCUCCUGCUGCAUGGUGGGGGUUGGAAAGUUUCGGCGGUUGGGGAUGGACUCGCGGCUUAUCAGCUUGUUGGUGGGGUAGUGGCUUACCAAGGCUUUGACGGGUAGCCGGCCUGAGAGGGUGAUCGGCCACAUUGGGACUGCGAUACGGCCCAGACUCCUACGGGAGGCAGCAGUGGGGAAUAUUGCACAAUGGGCGGAAGCCUGAUGCAGCAACGCCGCGUGCGGGAUGACGGCCUUCGGGUUGUAAACCGCUUUCGCCUGUGACGAAGCGUGAGUGACGGUAAUGGGUAAAGAAGCACCGGCUAACUACGUG
rnacentral:rRNA from 1 species